UGCUCCUCCUCCAGAUGGAUUUAGAAUUCGAGGAUCGAUAAUACUGCCAUCUCUGCAGAGCGAUGGAAUAACGCAGGAAUAUGAGCGGUUAGCAAACAGAUCGUGGGCGUAAAGCUGAAACUGACCCAGUAUUAAAUAUACAUUUUUGGUAGAUGCACUUUUAAACCACGUCGAAAAAUAUAUGAGAAUCCUUUUGGAAA